GAUGAACGCUAGCUACAGGCUUAACACAUGCAAGUCGAGGGGAAACGAUGAGAGAGCUUGCUCUCUUAGGCGUCGACCGGCGCACGGGUGAGUAACGCGUAUCCAACCUACCCAUUACAGGGGGAUAACCUUGCGAAAGUAAGACUAAUACCCCAUGGCAUUUUAUGGUGGCAUCAUUAUAGGAUUAAAGAUUUAUUGGUAAUGGAUGGGGAUGCGUCUGAUUAGCUUGUUGGCGGGGUAACGGCCCACCAAGGCAACGAUCAGUAGGGGUUCUGAGAGGAAGGUCCCCCACGUUGGAACUGCGGCACGGUCCAAACUCCUACGGGAGGCAGCAGUGAGGAAUAUUGGUCAAUGGGCGAGAGCUUGAACCAGCCAAGUAGCGUGCAGGAUGACGGCCCUAUGGGUUGUAAACUGCUUUUAUAGGGGAAUAAAGUGAGCUACGUGUAGUUUAUUGCAUGUACCCUAUGAAUAAGGACCGGCUAAUUCCGUG
rnacentral:rRNA from 1 species